rnacentral:snRNA from 1 species
UUGCUUCAGCAGCACAUACACUAAAAUUGAAAUGAUACAGAGAAGAUAAGCAUGGCCUCUAUGCAAGGAUGACAUGCAAAUUCAAGUACAUAUUUCACUUGUAU